rnacentral:lncRNA from 1 species
UUAUCUUGAACUCAUACAAAAAAUGUUAUUUUGAAAUAAAAAAAUGCUUCAUCCAAUAGAACGUAUGAUAGUGCAUUUUUUCCUCUAGCUUCUUUCUUUUAUUACCUAUUACCUAUUUAUAUUGUUAUCAAAACCAUCAAUAUCUCAACCAUAACAAAAAAUUAAACAUAAUGUCAUAAAAACAAUAGCAGAAGGAUCAACUUAUGAAUAACAUAAAACUUACUCAAUGAAACUAUGACUUUUGAAAGCUUCUCUAUAUAUGUCUUCACUUUUGUGCUUCAUUUCCAUAUCUUAUUAUAAAUGAAAAAUAGAGAUUAACAAUCAAAUACUGGAAAUUUAUAUUGGAUAAUGCUUUCUUUUACCUUUGAUAUUCUAUAAUUCUUAUACAUUAUGUGUAAAUUAUUUGCUAACCAUAUCAAAGUAUAUUACUGAUAUGUUGGGAGCAUAUUACUAUUUCAAUUUCCAUUUGUUAUUAAUCUAUAAUUUAAACAUCAUUAACUUAUGUAGAUAGGUGUAUGAGUGUUUAAAUACCAAAGGCUACUCUGUCAAUACAUGGCCAGUUGCUGCUUAAUCGGUUCAACAUUGAAACAUAGGAAUCUGCUGCUACAGUGUUUUCGGGAAAAGUAACCCUUCAAAACAAACCAAAAACAAUGUUGCAAGAGAGAUAAGGGAUAGAUUCUCAGAAAUUUUGCAAAUGUAACUGUAAAUGGUAUACAUGUUGAAAAAUAUGUUUGCUUCCUGUGGGAGAUUAUUAUGUUCAGCUAAAAAUUUAAAACCUAGUUCAAAAAGUUAAGAGUUUGAAAUUACAGGAGAUAUACUGAUCAUCAUAUGGAAGAUUUGACACUGAAAAUCCAUAAAGAUCUGAAAAUCCAUCAAAUGUGAAUGGAAAAUGAAAUGAAAAAUUGGGCAUGAUGCUUCAAAAAUUGGGUGUGAUUGCUUGAAGCUUCAAAUGACUUGAAAUGCUUAACGCUUCAGAAUAAGAUUUUGUAGGAAAGAAAAGCUAAAACCUAAAAUGCAAAUUUUCAUCUUCUCACAGCAACGUUUCUGCAAAAAAACAUUAAAUAAAAAAAAUCUUAAACAAACAGGUGACACAAACUGAACAUGCAAACACUCAUAUGCUACAAAAAUGGUGAGAAAUGAGUAAACUUUGUUACCUUAUUAAUACCUCUUACCUUGCUAUAAGAUCUCAUGAUAAAGAAGAUUGAGUGAGUGAGUGAGAUAAUGUAGAUAUAGGAAGUUGUAAGAAGAAAUCAUACCUGUGAAGGAAGAACAUACAGAUUUGUUGAGGAAACAAAUCAUAUUAAGAAAAAAAAUGCAGAAGAAAAUUUUGGUGAGUUUGAAUCAAUGAAGAAAGCCAGAGGGAGAUAGAUUGAAAAAUUGGAGAAAGAAAAAAAGAGAGGGCUUUGGUGAGUUUGAGUCAAUGGAAAAAAGGAGAGAAAGAUGGAAAUGGAGAAAGAGAUAGAGAAAGUCUGAUGGGAAUGGUCAGAAAAG